ACAGAGGUUGGCUGGCAUGAGGUGUUC
rnacentral:sRNA from 1 species